GACAGACAGUGCGGGCGUUAUUCGGAUUGACUGGGCGUAAAGGGUACGUAGGUUGCCUAAAUAACUAUGUUCGAAAAGCUAGAGAAUAACUGUAGACAAGAACAUACCGAUUUUUAGGCUACGAGUUAAGUAGAAGUCGGAACAAUUUCUAGUGUAAGAGUAGAAUCUAACUAUAUUAGAACGAAUACCAAUGGCGGAAGCAUCUCUCUAGACUUAACUGACGCUGAGGUACGGAGGCAUGGGGAGCAAACAGG
rnacentral:rRNA from 1 species